rnacentral:lncRNA from 1 species
CAGAGGGAGAAGCCGGGCUUCAGAGAAGUCUCAACAAGUGCUGUGGCUGACUCUGCAGGGAGCUCUAGAGCCGGGUGAUUCUUCACAGGGAUCUGGAGCUGGGGCUAGGCGGGUGGGAAUGAGGUGCUCAGUAUUUCAUACCAGUCAUCCUCCACCCCACCCCCCACACCCCAUAAACCGCAUCUUGUUUGUGAGAUGCCCAGGAAGGAAGGAAGCAUGCCCCUGAGGGAGCUGGCUCUUUUUAGGAGAAGGUGAUUUCAGGAGAGGGCCCCAGCUGUUAGCUGACAACCCUUCUAGCAGCUAGGAGUCCUUUUGGCUUGAAGAAGAAACUGGGAAGUACCUCCCAGAAAUUCUGAAGCAGUUGUGGGAAAGGAAACAAGUCACCCAGCUUCUAGCAGCAAAGCCCAGGUCUGCACAUAGCCUUUUAGACAGCACUGCCCCAGCUCCCAGCUAUUUGCUUAGUUUGGUGUAUGUUGAUUUCCACACAUUGACUGCUGUGGAGCAUUUCUGGAAAGAAUCCUGGAUACACAGUGUCUAAGAGUCAGCUGCCUGUCCAUGCGUGUCAUACAAAAAAGGUGGAGUGGCCUCAUCCAGUGGUGCAGAAUUUAUCUUGUGUUUUUGGAAGAAAUGCUGGUGAAGAGAGGGUCCAGGAUGAAAGAGAACUUUCCAUCAGAUGCACUGUGCCUUGGGACUCAUGUGACACUCUUGUGUCAUCCUGAAUGAUGAAGCAUUUCACUCUCUAAAGCUUAUUAGUAAAAUAAAGUGUUUUUAGAAGUCUUUCUAAAAUACUGAAUUAAAUAUUUUUACACAAUAGUCUCUGAUGUGAUUUCUUAAAAAAAAUUUUUUUAAGUGUAAAUACGGCUGAGAUAGGAGGAAAGGGGGCAGAGCAUAACAUCAAAAGGAUGACAGAGACUUUGACAAACAAAGGAUAUGAUGAAAGCUGGUUAGAGCAGAUUAGGCCCAAGAUGGCAGAAGAUUAAACUUCCAGUAGACCUUGAGCCUCAUUCUAUGCUCAUUAUAAUCUAUUAGAUAAAUGACACACUCACCUGUGCCAUGACAGUUCUGAGGCCAAUCGUAAAAGGCCAAAAUGUGGCUCAAUUCCUAGAAAUCCAUGCCCCACCCCAAAUAGUUGAAAUAGUCAUCUCACUCAUUAGUAUAUGCAAUUACUCAGCCCAUAAAAAGUAAUCAUGCCAUACUUGGGGGUCACUGUCACAUUUUGAGAUGGACUGCAUUCUCUCUAUGGAAUAUGCAUAUCAUUAAUUUAGUUACUUAUUUUACUCUGGCAAGUCUUAGUUGCAGCACACAGAA